rnacentral:misc_RNA from 1 species
GUGGGAGUGAGCCUGCUCGCGAUUGCGGUACAUCAGUAACAUCAUUGUUUACUGAUACACCGCAAUCGCGAGCAGGCUCACUCCCAC